CUCUCUCUCUCUCUCUCUCUCUCUCUCUCUCUCUCUCUCAGAUGCCAAGAAAUAAGAGAAAUCCCAGGCGAAGAAAGAAAAUGAGUCUGAAAGACUUUAUUGUUGCUGAUCUACGCACAAGUUGAUCACAUGUUGGUAUUGGGGGACUAGGAAAAAGGACUUUAUGGCCCUGCUUGCAUAUGAAGGGCUGAAUAAACUCCCAAUGGAUCAUCUGCUUAGCUUGUACUAGCAAAUAGUUGCUGAAACUUUGAAUUGGCAAUUCUUGGUGGUGAUAUAUACAUGCUAGCCGAAUAGAAAAACCAAAAGAUAAUAAUAUAUACGUAUUUGUUGAGCUUCCUUGAGCUAUGAAACUGAAGCUUUGUAUCUCUCCAAAGAACAAUCACAUAGACUAUGGGUAAGUAUUUGUAAUUGAUUAUUCAUUUCAUUGUUCAACUUCUAGCUGCUGAGGUGAAGUUAAAUUGGAUGAUACAAUUGGAUUCAUUUGCCUAUAAAUUAAUGUCUUUUAUUUGAGAAGGAUAUAUUAGUGUUUCAUUUGCAUAUAGUAAAAUUAAUGUAUUUUAUUUUUUGAAAUUAAUGUCUCUUUUGAUUUGAUUAAUGUAAAUCUCUAUAUACUUUAAAAAUCAAAUGAUUUAUAUCUAUGUUUUGUGAUAUAAAUAAAAUCUAGAAUUAUCUUAAUCAUUACUCUUUUUCCACAGCAAGCAUGUGCAAGGCACAUGCUGCCCUAACUUGUCUAAAUAUAAUAUUUUAAAAUGUUUAAAAUUUUAGGGAG